rnacentral:rRNA from 1 species
AACGAACGCUGGCGGCAGGCUUAACACAUGCAAGUCGAACGGGUGUAGCAAUACAUCAGUGGCAGACGGGUGAGUAACACGUGGGAACCUUCCUAGGGGUACGGAACAACUCAGGGAAACUUGAGCUAAUACCGUAUACGUCCGUGAGGAGAAAGAUUUAUCGCCCUUAGACGGGCCCGCGUCGGAUUAGCUAGUUGGUGGGGUAACGGCCUACCAAGGCGACGAUCCGUAGCUGAUCUUAGAGGAUGAUCAGCCAAACUGGGACUGAGACACGGCCCAGACUCCUACGGGAGGCAGCAGUGGGGGAUCUUGGACAAUGGGCGCAAGCCUGAUCCAGCCAUGCCGCGUGAGUGAAGAAGGUCUUCGGAUUGUAAAGCUCUUUUGCCAGGGACGAUAAUGACGGUACCUGGAGAAUAAGCCCCGGCAAACUUCGUGCCAGCAGCCGCGGUAA